AGCGAACGCUGGCGGCAGGCUUAACACAUGCAAGUCGAACGCCCCGCAAGGGGAGUGGCAGACGGGUGAGUAACACGUGGGAACGUACCCUUUGGUUCGGAAUAACUUGGGGAAACUCAAGCCAAUCUCGGAUAAGCCCUUAUGGGGAAAGGUUUACUGCCGAAGGAUCGGCCCGCGUCUGAUUAGCUAGUUGGUGAGGUAAGGGCUCACCAAGGCGACGAUCAGUAGCUGGUUUGAGAGGAUGAUCAGCCACACUGGGACUGAGACACGGCCCAGACUCCUACGGGAGGCAGCAGUGGGGAAUAUUGGACAAUGGGGGCAACCCUGAUCCAGCCAUGCCGCGUGAGUGAUGAAGGCCUUAGGGUUGUAAAGCUCUUUUACCCGGGACGAUAAUGACUGUACCGGGAGAAUAAGCCCCGGCUAACUUCGUGCCAGCCGCCGCAGUAA
rnacentral:rRNA from 1 species